UGGAAAAAGAACUAUUACCUGGGCAAUUAACAAACUGAGCUCUGGUUAUUGGCACCCUAUGUGAGGCCUCCUAGAAGGAGCUGGGAUGGAGAACAGAGCUGGCGUCAUGGAGGAAGCAGAACUACAGACAUUUACAUAGGCACAGCUGUGAGACCCUCUGCCCUGUCAAUUCCCAGCACUAAAUUCCAGGGUUUCCUCUACCUCCUGUCUGACCACUGACCUUCUUCAGCAAAUGGUCCUCAGCCCCUGCUCCUUCCUGCCUGCUUCAUCGCCCUGGGGCAUGGUUUUGCAUUCAUCUUUAUGCUGAGUCACAGAUUCCCAUCCUCAGCUCAGUUCUUGCCCUUAGGUCUCCUGGAGACUCGGGUACCUACCUCACCACCACCUGGAUGCUUAAUAGCAUCUCACACGUGUGCUCCAAAGAAACCCUCCACUCACAGCACCGUCCUUUCCAGCAAGUCCUCAGCCCAUGUCCGUCCACUUCUCUUCAUCCCUACCAUCUGUUGGCGCCUCUCCCUCCAUCAGCUCCCACUGGACACUGCUAGCCUGGCCCUGCUCAGCCACUGUCCUGAAUGGAGCCUUUCUCCCGAGUCAGCUGUAUGCAUCAUCUCACAGCCCCUGCUUAGGGUCACUGGCGCUUGCUGUACCUUUGCCCCAAAUGUUCUUGGCCUGGCUGCUCACAGGGCUGGCUCCUUCUUCACCUCCGGGCAGUCUUCCCUUGAAAACACCAUCCUCAACUUCACUGAAAGCCUUCGGCACCUCCAGCAACCCUCCUUGUCACCUCACUGGAACAUGCUGCCCAAGUGGGAGUUGAGCCACUUAACAGCUUGGCACCUCGGAAGGAAUCCUAUGUGAAACUCCCAGAUCCUCUUCAAUGUGUCUCGGCUAAAGAAUCACACUAAAUGACUUUAAAUACAUUUGUUCAAAGACUGCCGGGAUUCACACUAUUGAACAGUCACCCUGGGUCCAGUUUCCUCCAAGGACACCGCUUCAUUCCAGAACAGCCACUUCAAGCGCUUCGUCAAUAGCUGAGAGGUCCAGAGGUUUCAGAAAACUGGCGGGAAGCCAUAUGAGAAAUCACCACAGCUCAUGUAGCCUCCUCCUUUCGAAGACAAGAAAACAAAGAACUUGUAGUGCUGGGGCCUCAGGAUGGUCGCAUUCCCUGAACCAGACACACUGGGCGCUCUGUGCAUAAAGCUGGAUUCUGGCUGCAUAAAGAUACUGUGCUGAGG